ensembl:lncRNA
CUAAGACCAGACAAGACAGCCCAGCUAGAACAUAUCCCACAGACAGGCAGCAGCUUUUGGGAGAGCCCUGGCUCCAAUUGUUCAGGACUCAGAUGAAAGCCAAGCUGCACGUCUGCUCCAGAUGAGCAGGGAGGCCUGGGUUCAGCCCUGUGUGUUCCUUAGUUGUCGGUUUAGACUCUGAGAGCCCAAGGUCCAGGUAAUCCUACAUCGACAUUUAGUUGUAGUAAACAAGACAGUGGUCCCGUAUACAUUUUGCCCAGGAUCCGUGAGUCUGUGUGUCCUUCUGCCAAGCCAAAGGCAGCCUGCCCACUUGUCUCUCAGACAUCCUGGCCGUUCUCCACUGAAGGUUCAACUCACCUGGGCCCCAGUCCUCACCUCCCAAGCCCUGGCUCCUUGAGCCUGUUGAUGCCGUCUGCGUAUAGAUGUGGGCUCUGGCUGCCAGCUCAGAGCCUCUUAUACCUCCCCACUCCUUGCUUCUCACUCCUUUUCUUGUUUUGGUGUUCCUGAGAAUUUUUAC